rnacentral:rRNA from 1 species
GCUUAUGAAUCCAAACUGUCAAGAAAAGCCGCUAUUGUUUUACUUACGCCCGUACCGCAAACCGACACAGGUAGAUGAGGAGAGAAUCCACAGGCCGGCGGGAGAAGCGUUGUUAAGGAACUAGGCAAAAUGACCCCGUAACUUCGGGAGAAGGGGUGCCUCGAAAGAGGCCGCAGAGAAGAGGCCCAAGCGACUGUUUAACAAAAACACAGGUUUCUGCGAAACCGCAAGGUGAAGUAUAGGAGCUGACGCCUGCCCGGUGCUGGAAGGUUAAGGGGAGGACUUAGAGCAAUCGAAGGUUCGAACUUAAGCCCCAGUAAACGGCGGCCGUAACAAUAACGGUCCUAAGGUAGCGAAAUUCCUUGUCGGGUAAGUUCCGACCCGCACGAAAGGCGUAACGAUUUGGGCACUGUCUCGACAACGCGCCCGGUGAAAUUGAAGUGCCAGUGAAGAUACUGGCGCCCCGCGACAGGACGGAAAGACCCCAUGGAGCUUUACUCUAGCUUGAUAUUGGGAUUCGGUGUCACAUGUACAGGAUAGGUGGGAGGCAGAGAAAGUAGUACGCCAGUAUUACCGGAGCCGACGUUGGGAUACCACCCUUGUGAUAUUGAAUUUCUAACCAAAAGCCGUGAACCGGCUUUGGGACACUGUCAGGUGGGGAGUUUGACUGGGGCGGUCGCCUCCGAAAGGGUAUCGGAGGCGCUCAAAGGUUCCCUCAGGAUGGUUGGAAACCAUCCAAAGAGUGCAAAGGCAGAAGGGAGCUUGACUGUGACACCGACGGGUGAAACAGGUAGGAAACUAGGACUUAGUGAUCCGGUGGUAUAAAGUGGGAUUGCCAUCGCUCAACGGAUAAAAGCUACCCUGGGGAUAACAGGCUGAUCUCCCCCAAGAGUUCACAUCGACGGGGAGGUUUGGCACCUCGAUGUCGGCUCAUCGCAUCCUGGGGCUGAAGGAGGUCCCAAGGGUUGGGCUGUUCGCCCAUUAAAGCGGUACGCGAGCUGGGUUCAGAACGUCGUGAGACAGUUCGGUCCCUAUCCGUCGUGGGCGUAGGAUAUUUGAGAGGAGCUGUUCUUAGUACGAGAGGACCGGAAUGGACAGACCGCUGGUGCAUCUGUUAGGGACCAAACCUAUAGCAGAGUAGCCAAGUCUGGCAGGGAUAAACGCUGAAGGCAUCUAAGCGUGAAGCCUCCCUCAAGAAGAGAUAUCCCAUCCGCAAGGAGUAAGACCCCUCGAAGACGACGAGGAGAUAGGCCGGAGGUGGAAGCACAGAGAUGUGCGCAGCUGACCGGUACUAAUAGGUCGAGGGCUUGAUU